rnacentral:lncRNA from 1 species
CUUCACCAGAAUAGACCGUUGUUCAAAAAUGCCGUUGAUGUAAUAGCCCAUUUCAUCCCGCAUAACAGAUCGGGAAUCCUCAUUAUCUCCUAGACUAGGGAAAUCGACGUUUGUUGCUUUAUUGAGUUCUUCAACGGUAAAGACGCGAUAAGGAAUAUCAUACUUACCAUUAGAGAAAGCACUAAGCCCUUCUAACACCCUGCCUCCAUUUUCAAUAUACCAAGGCGAUAAUUUCAAUUUCUCAUUCCUCCUUUUCAAGAACCUUAUCUUUCUUUUCACCCACUCCAUGAAUAAUUGCAAAUGAGGAAACAACCCAAGUCUUCAAAACUCUUCAGAAAAAAACAAUAAAAAUAAUAAUUAGAUGCUGCUGGAACUUGAAUAGCUUAGCAACUUUGAGGGUCCUAAUAGAGACUUUAUUCCAGGCAUACAGACAAAAUGGCAAUAAUUCAUUCUUUGGUUUCAUACCUCUCUUUCCUGGCUAUUGCACGCAAACUAAAGUCUUUGUUUGAAGUUUCCACGAAAUUUGGUAAAAAUCAAUGUGUACCAUAAAAUGUACGAUUUCGAUAAUUUGAGAUACAAAUAAUUUAAGAGGAAAAUGAUACAAACAAAAAUUAACACAAUUUCUGCACAAUUUAAGAAUCGGUUUAAUUUACGUCGAGAAAUAAAACUAACACAUAAGGAGUAUCGAUUGGUAACAUAAAAAAGAAUUGGCUAUAAACAGGCAGUUAAAGAUUAAAGUAUGUUAAAGAUAGUAAAUUUGGGAUUCUAGUCUGUUUUGUAAUAUGAUUAAUUCAAAGAAAUAGUUUGUUUUGAUUGUGUUACUAGAUAAUUAUAAUUAGUUAAAAUUUACUUUGAAAAUUAUUAGGUUAUUUUUCUUGAAAUAGAGUUAGGUCUAAUUAAAGUAUAAUUAAGUAUGUAAUUAGUCCUCGUGGGAACCAUAUUCUAUUAAUUACUUUGUUAUUUGUAAUUAUGCAUCCACUUAUAGAAGAAAAUCGACAAUAGAACUACUUUUAUAUUUGAUUGUGCACUGAAAUGUACUUUCUAAGUUAUAACCUAAAAGUAAACAAAAAUUUUAUGUAAAUAAAACAAAUUGCUUCAAUAAUUAAAAAGAGUCAUUUUUAAUUAAGUGCUUUAAUUAAAAGUAAAAAGAACUUAUAGCAAUCAUCUUUACUUUUUAUAAAUCCAAUUGUGGUCAUUUAUCAUCAAUAAAAUGUCGAAAUUAAUUUAUUUCAACAGUCUCGAAUAAUUAUUCUCUAAUUCUUGAAUUAGAUAACACUAUACAGUUUGUAGACAUAAUUGAAUUAUAAAGAUUUUUCUGAAGUGUUCUAAUUGGUACGGGACUUUAAUUGCAGUUACUAGAAUUUAAAUGACAUAAAGUUGUUAGUCGUGUUCGAUUGACUUGAACUCGAUCUCAACGAUGAUUAUAUAAAUUUUAUAUCCUUCUUUUUACAGUUGAAUAAGAUAUUACUUAUAUUCCUAGAGGAUAAACUUUCGCGCUCUACAUGUAUAAUUUCAAAAUAUUUACAUCAUUAAACCCAAAUCUUAUCCUAAACUAUAGUUACAGUAAAACAUCAUAUAAGUGAAGAACAUCAUGAAAAUAAGAUCAUAAGUUUACUUGCAAUUAAGUAGAUCUAUUUGCACAAAAACUGUAAUUUGUAUCUUUGUAGAUUAUCGUCAACAAAAUAUCGACAUAAAUUUAUGUCAACAAUCUUGAACAACGAUUCUACAAAAGCUGCAAAGCGCUUGUAGAAUGGGAUUUUAGAUAUAAAUUUUUAGACAAAGUUUUGUAAGUGUUUUAAAUGACUGACGUGAAGUCGAUAUAGGGCAUUUUAGUUUUUUUAUUUUUUUAAAGAAACGACACAUUUCUUUUGCAUAAAUGAAAUAGUCAAGCAUUCCAAGAUACAUGAAAUUAAUUUAAUUAAUUAUGACAUUUUUCCUUGGGAGGUUUAAAUGCAUACCGUUGCAUGGGGCAUUUUAGUCAAGAGUUAGUAUGUAACUGUAAUGAAUGACUUGAACUUGAGUCUCGAUAGGGUAUAGAUUUCUCACUCUCCCCUCUAUUAUCAGAACAUGUUCUUACAAGAUUUAAACGAUACAUCAAAUAUAAAUUUUAAGGGAAAUCUUAACCUCGGGUCCCCAACCUUCGAGCAAUAGUGCAAGAAAAUUUCUAACUUUUUAUAUCUCAACCUCUCAUAUUUUGUUCUUUGAAAUUGAGUUUGGUCUUUAUUUUUAUUUUUAUUUUUCAUUAUUUGGACCCUAAACUUUCUUUGCUCUCAUGUAUGCUCUAAAUUUUCUGUAUAAAAUAAAAUUGUCACUAGUCGUACUAUCUAAUUAUACCCUCUUGUAUAUUUGCAACGUAUGCAUUAUUAUAACAAAAUCUUAUCAUUAACCAUUGUUAUAGACAACACUUCCAUAACAUAAAACAUCAGCCAACAAAAUAACAAGAUCCAUGCUCAGAUCUCCCAACAAAAUAAUAACUUAACACACAAUCUAUUAAGUGUUUUAACCGACGACAUAAAUAUCUUUGACGAUAUAGCGAGUACGCUAAACUGGAUGAACAGACCUCUGAAUCCUUACUAUUUUUGCCACAUCGAUUAUGUAUGGCCUAUCUACACCUCUAGCAAGGGUACAUCUCAAAGCAAGUCUCACGGAAGCCUGCAAUUGAUGCUCUAUUUCGCCCAUCUCCCCUAAAACUAUUGGGUCCAAUAUUUUACUUAACUCAUUCUUGUCAACGUGGUUUUUUACAAAAUUCACUAAGGAUCCGUUUGAUUGUAAAGAUGGAAUUGAAAACGAAUUUUAUGGAAUUGAAUUGCCUAGAAAUUAUUUUCCUAGGAAUUGUAAAUUAUUGUGUUUGAUUGGUAUAAUUUUCCAAAGUGGAAAAUGUUGAAAUAAAAUUAUUUUUUGCUGUUCGUUUGGCUUUAUUUUACAUGAAUAUUAUCAAUUAAAGGGAUAAAACUUACUGGUAUCAGGGAUAAAAUUUGUUUCCAUUGACUUUGUUUUACAUGAGAAUUAUCAUUUAAAGGGAAAGAAUUUGUUACAAUAAUUCUUAGAAUUUGUUUAAAUUGCAAAAUAAAAAAUGAACAAAGACGUGGAAACAUGGAAUUGAAAUUCCCACCAUUUGGUGGAAUUAGCUAAUGUGGCCAUAGAAGAUCGAAAAUAAAUUCCAUUCCAAAUUUUGCCAAUCAAACACAGCAAAAUUGAAAAGAUGAAAUUUAAAUUCCAUUUUCCUUAGAAUUUCAAGGUUAUCAAACAGGGCCUCAAGUCGUCAAAACUCAUUGGGGGGGGGGGGGGGGGGGGGGACCGAAAAAAAAAAUUUGAAGAGGACCUCUGAACCCAAGCUAGAAAUUGUUUUACCCAAUAACAUAAUAUCUUUGACAAUAUGGCUUAUCUGCUGCUCCUUUGAGUGGGAUGAACAGACCUCUGAAUCCUUACUAGUUCUUUUGCCACAUCGAUUAUGUAAGGCCUAUCUGCUCCUCUGACAACAGUACAUCUCAAAGUAAGUCUUGUGAAAGCCUGCAAUUGAUGCUCUAUUUCGCCUAUCUCCCCUAAAAUUUUUGGGUCCAAAAUUUUACUAUACUCAUUCUUCUCAACGUGGUGUUCUACAAAAUCCUCUAAACAAGGAUGUUCAUCAUCUAGAUUGCGAAGAUGACGACCAGUUAAUAGUUGAAGGAGAAUAAUUCCAAAACCGUAGACAUCAGUCUUUUCUGUGAUAAUGUUUGUUUGCAUGUAGUCAGGUUCAAUAGGUCCUUGCGUCCCAGCUAAUCCUACUUCCAUCUGUGAUUCUCCGGGAGGCAAUGCUACGCAGAGUGAGAAAUCGAAAAGCUUAGCAACGCCAUUAUUGUCUAUGACAAUGUUUCUUGUGGUUAGAUCUCUAUGGAUGAUAGGUGUGGGAAAUGCAGUAUGAAGAUAGACAACAGCAUUUGCAACAUCUGUUGCAAUUUUUAGUCGAUUGCUCCAACAGAGUGAUCUAUCGGUAUUAUUGCCAUUAAAAAGAAGGUCCCUCAAAAGUCCAUGGUUCAACCCGAUUUCAUAGAUAAUAGCAGGUGUUUCCAAAUCUAAGCAGCAACCCAAGACCUUCAAAACAUUUUUGUGGCGGUUCAUCAGCACCGUGAAUACUAUGUCGUUGACAGCAAGGGACGGCAUUGCGUCUCCUAAACCAGAACUACGGAACUUCUUCACCAGAAUAGACCUUUGUUGAAAAAUGCCGCUGAUGUAAUAGCCCCAUACAUCCCACAUAACAGAUCUGGAAUCGCUAUCUCGAAGACUAGGGAAAUCGACGUUUGUUGCUUUAUUAAGUUCUUCAACGGUAAAGACGCGAUAAGGAAUAUCAUACCUACCAUUAGAGAAAGCAAUAAGCCCUUCUAACACCUUGCCUCCAUUUUCAAUAUACCAAGGCGAUAAUUUCUCAUUCCUCCUUUUCAAGAACCUUAUCUUUCUUUUCACCCACUCCAUGAAUAAUUGCAAAUGAUGAAACAACCCAAGUCUUCAAAACUCUUCAGAAAAAACAAUAAAAAUAAUAAUUAGAUGCUGCUGCAACUUGAAUAGCGUAGGACUUUAUUCCAAACAUACAGACAAAAUGGCAAUAAUUCAUUCUUUUGUUUCAUACCUCUCUUUCCUGGGUAUUUCACGCAAACUAAAGUCUUUGUUUGAAGUGUCAACGGAAUUCGGCAAAAAUCAAUGUGUACUAUAAAAUGUAUGAUUCCGCUAAGAGACUAAAAAUGAUACAAAGAUAAAUUAACACAAUUUCUGAACAAUUUAAGAAUCGGUUUAAUUUACGUAGGGAAAUAAAACUAACAAAACUAACACAUAAGGAAUAUCGAUCGGUAACAUAAAAAAGAAUUGGCUAUAAACAGGUAGUUAAAGGUUAAAGUAUGUUAAAGAUAGUAAAUUUGGGAUUCAAGUGUGUUUUGUAAUAUGAUUAAUUCAAAGAAAUUGUUUGUUUUGAUUUUGUUAGUAGAUAAUUAUAAUUAGUUAAAAUUUACUUUGAAAAUUAUUAGGUUAUUUUUCUUGAAAUAGAACUAGGUUUAAUUAAAGUCCAAAUAAGUAUAUAAUUAGUCCUCGUGGGAACCAUAAUCUAUUAAUCACUUUGUUAUUUGUAAUUAUGCAUC